AUGUGAGGAUGAUCUGACUGUGACAUCUGUCAUCUUAGUGACUGCCAGGGUUAAUUUGGCUGGUAUGGCUGGCAAGGCAGCUGUCCCCUUCCUCCCUCACUGCU
ensembl:misc_RNA 7SK 7SK RNA